ensembl:misc_RNA
CAGAGCCCGCCAGCCGCUAAGCCAGGGCCACACCUGGGAGUGAUUUCGUGUCUCACCUCCAGUAGGCACCUGGGUCUCUUUGGGCUAAUCUCUGGCUCCCUCGCACUAACUCUUGCUCUCACCCAGCUAAUCCCCCCUGACUGCCCCAGAGGCUGGCCACUAACAACCAACCCAGCCUGUCUGGGGGCUCCAGGCUCCUGGCCUGGCUUUGACCAGCUCUUAAUUAACGUCUCCUUCAUCUUGACUAACUCCUGCCUUCCUGGUCUGUUCCUUUCAGCAGAGACUAAUGGCUUGUGGAUUUCUUUCUGACUAACAACAGGUCUAACACUCCUCGUUACUAUUAACAGCUUGGAUGUCAGCAUGGCUGGG